rnacentral:rRNA from 1 species
GACGAACGCUGGCGGCGUGCUUAACACAUGCAAGUCGAACGGAAAGGCCCUGCCUUUGUGGGGUGCUCGAGUGGCGAACGGGUGAGUAACACGUGAGCAACCUGCCCCUGACUUUGGGAUAACUUCAGGAAACUGGGGCUAAUACCGUAUAGGAGUUCUUGCUGCAUGGUGGUGGUUGGAAAGUUCCGGCGGGUGGGGAUGGACUCGCGGCUUACCAGCUUGUUGGUGGGGUAGCGGCUUACCCAGGCUUGGGUGGGUAGCCGGCCUGAGAGGGUGACCGGCCACAUUGGGACUGGGAUCCGGCCCAGCCUCCUCGGGGAGGCAGCGGGGGGAAAUAUUGCAAAAUGGGCGGAAGCCUGAGGAGGAAACGCCGGGUGCGGAAUGCCGGCCUUCGGGUUGUAACCGGCUUUCGCAUGUACCAAGGCGUGAGUGACGGUAAUGGGUAAAGAAGCACCGGCUAACUACGUG